CCCGCGAGGCUUUGCGGUGGCUGCUUGGCGUGGCAGUGAUCGCUUGGCUUGGCAUUUCUGGCUUAGCGGUCCUCCUUUCGCAGAUUGGAAACCGCGGGCUAUCCUGCUGGGAGGUUGUGGCCGAGGCAGUAGCUCGCUACUGAUGGCCUCCUGGGGUGGAGAAAAGCGGGGAGGGGCUGGGGGGUCUCCGAAGCCGGCAGUCUACGCCACGAGGAAGACCCCUAGUGUUGGGAGCCAGGAGGACCAGUGGUACUUGGACUACCCGGGGGACCAGUGGUCCUUGGGCUUCUCCUACAGCUGGUGGAAGAACAGCGUCGGCAGCGAGAGCAAGCACGGUGAGGGCGCCUUAGACCAGCUCCAGCACGAUGUCCGCCUGGAAGAUCUUGGCGAGCUCCACAGAGCUGCCCGGUCGGGCGACGUCCCUGGGGUGGAGCACGUCUUGGCUCCUGGAGACACUGGCGUGGACAAGAGGGAUAGGAAGAAGAGCAUUCAGCAACUAGUUCCUGAAUAUAAGGAAAAACAGACACCUGAAAGUCUUCCUCAAAAUAACAAUCCAGAAUACAGACAUUUAAAAAUACUGUUGGGGCCAGCACAGUGGUGUAUGCCUGUAAUCUCACCACUUUGGGAGGCUGAGAUGGGAGGAUCACUUGAGCCCAGAAGUUCGAGACCAGCCCGGGCAACAUGACAAGACCUCAUCUCUACUAAAUUUUUUAAAAAACAAUAAAACAUUAGCUGGGCAUGGUGCCAGGUGCCUGUACUUCCAGCUACUUGGGAGGCUGAGGUGGGAAGAUUGCUUGAGCCUGGGUGUUUGAGGCUACAGCGAGCUAUGAUCAUGCCACUGCACUCGUGUCUGGGUAACAGAGUGAGACCCUGUCUCAAAAAAGAAAAAAAAAACCAACAAAACCCA
ensembl:lncRNA CCDC144NL CCDC144A N-terminal like (pseudogene)